CUUCCCACUAUAAACAUAACGUUCUUUCUUAGCCAAAUAUUUGCCUUACUUAUUUGUGUGUAAAGAAUGAUGAUGAGAUAUAAAACAUAACCAGUAGUCAAUGUGCAUGCUGCCAAGUGAAUAGUGAAUAAGCUACUCUUUCGGGUUCAUAUAUUUGUAAAUCUGACUCUGAAGGAGUCAGUGCCUCACCAGCUUCAGUACUGGCAGCAGAAAUCGUCAACAUAUAGUCUGCUGGCGCGAGUGGCUGAGGACCUUGUCUGUGCACCUGCAUUACAGUCGUACGUCAUGCGAAUAUUUUCACUGUGUGGCUAUCUGAGCAAUGGACAUCAUUGUAACGUGAACACAUCUCUCGAAAUGCACGCUUGUUUAAAGCUUAACAGCAACGUGCUUAUACAGACUGGUUUCUUGAGUUGAAACAUUUGAUUUUGCUGACUACACUCAUGAGGCCACUUCAUCUGUCUGAUCAUCGAUAGUCAAGCUGUGUUUAACGCCAUUAUGAACUGUGUGAUCAUAACACUAGCAGCCCCAGACUCCAUAAUGGGGCUUGCCAGACGGGAUGCUUGCCACCCAUUGUACAGGAGGAUGCUCUCUCCAUAGCAGAAAAAAUGUAACACUAAGGAGAUUAAUGAAAACCUACCUACUCCAGAGCACUCUGGGCUUCAGGUUCACCUUGCAACAGGACAAUGAACCUAAGCAAAAAGUAAAGACUACACACUCUGUGAAUGUCCUUGAGUGCCCCUGAAAAUGCUGUCUACUGAUGGUCUCCAUUAAACCUGGCUGAGCGUGAGAGGAUCUGCAGAAGGGAACGGCACAAUAUCCACAAAUACAGGUUUGUGAAGCUUAUUUCAUCAUACCCAAGAAGACUCCAGGCUGUAAUUGCUGCUAAAGGUGUUUCAACAAAGUAUUGAGUAAAGUUCUGAAUACUUGUGUCAAUGUGAUAUUUCAGGUUUUCUUUUAAUAAAUCUUCAUAAAUGUCUAAAAUCCUGUUUUCACUUUGUCAUUCAGGAGUACUGAGUGUUGUCUGAGGUGGGGAAAAAUACAUUUAAACUAUUUUAGCGCAAGUCUGCAACAUAACAAAAUGUGUAUAAAGUGGUGGGGUAUGAAUACUUUCUGAAGGCACUGUAUACACAAGACACAGUAUGUUUCUGAAACUGAAAGAAGAGUUUGCUAACAGGCCCCUCAUUGAUGACUGAUGGGCAACUCUUUUUACCAACUAAUACUGUGAAUAUAAUUGACAAUUGAGUUAAGCAGUUCAUUAGGUCUUCUGCCAUGAUCCUCUCAGACUAUAUCUCAUGAUAUAAAUAUUCACAAUAUAUACACUGCCCUUGUUCUGAAUUUCAUUAGAUGAAAGCCUCAAGCCUCUUCCUACUGGAAAACUAUCCAGAGUCAUCUUCUUACUGCAUAUAAUAUGCUACUGUGGCUGUCCGCUUGUAUGGAUACAAUGAGGCUAUUAGAAAUAAACUGGAUGCAUUAGGAUUAAUAGUCAAAUCGGAGGUAAAAAGCUUAGGGGUAACCGUUGAUUGUAAUCUGAAUUUUAAAUCGCAUAUUAAUCAGAUCACUAGGACAGCAUUUUUUCACCUAAGAAACAUAGCAAAAGUUAGACCUCUUAUAUCAUCGAAAGAUGCAGAGAAGUUAGUUCAUGCGUUUGUUUUCAGUCGGCUAGAUUACUGUAACGCACUCCUCUCAGGACUACCCAAAAAAGACAUCAAUCGUUUGCAACUAGUGCAGAAUGCAGCUGCUAGAAUCCUUACCAGGAAAAGAAAAUCCAAACACAUUUCUCCAGUUUUGAUGUCACUACACUGGUUACCUGUGUCAUUCAGAAUUGACUUUAAAAUUCUGCUUAUGGUUUAUAAAGCUUUAAAUAAUCUCGCCCCGGCUUAUAUAUCGGAAUGUCUGACACCUUAUAUUCCAAAUCGUAACCUCAGAUCCUCAACUGAGUGUCUCCUUAGAAUUCCAAGAGCAAAACUUAAAAGAAGUGGUGAGGCGGCCUUCUGCUGUUAUGCACCUAAAAUCUGGAAUAGCCUGCCAGUAGGAAUUCGCCAGGCUAAUACAGUGGAGCACUUUAAAAAACUGCUGAAAACACAUUACUUUAACAUGGCCUUCUCAUAACUUCACUGUAAUUUAAUCCUGAUACUCUGUAUAUCCAAUUCAUUAUAAUAACUAUUCAUUCAAAAUCUGUACUAACCCCUACACUCUCUUCUGUUUCCUUUUCCGGUGUCCUGUUGGUGGUGGCGUGCGCCACCACCAUCUACCCAAAGCACCAUGAUGUUCCAACAAUGAUGGAUGGAUUAAAAGCCAGAAGUCUGUAUGACCAUCAGCAUCAAGUGACUCCGUGAAAAGCCCGAACUACAAAGAGGACUAUUUCAUUUAUGUUAGGUAGAAUGCCCAGAGGGGACUGGGCGGUCUCGUGGCCUGGAACCCCUACAGAUUUUAUUUUUUUCUCCAGCCUUCUGGAGUUUUUUUUUGUUUUUUCUGUCCCCCCUGGCCAUCGGACCUUACUCCUUUCUAUGUUAAUUAAUGUUGUCUUAUUUUAAUUUCUUAUUUUGUCUUUUAUUUUUCUUCUCUUCAUUAUGUAAAGCACUUUGAGCUACUUUUUGUAUGAAAAUGUGCUAUAUAAAUAAAUGUUGUUGUUGUUGUCUG